AGGAGUGUGGCUCAGUCAGUAGAGCACUUGCCUAGAAUGUGUGAAGCCCUGAGUUUGAUCCUCAGCACCACUU
rnacentral:tRNA from 1 species